GACGAACGCUGGCGGCGUGCUUAACACAUGCAAGUCGAACGAAGAGCGAUGGAAGCUUGCUUCUAUCAAUCUUAGUGGCGAACGGGUGAGUAACGCGUAAUCAACCUGCCCUUCAGAGGGGGACAACAGUUGGAAACGACUGCUAAUACCGCAUACGAUCUAAUCUCGGCAUCGAGGAUAGAUGAAAGGUGGCCUCUACAUGUAAGCUAUCACUGAAGGAGGGGAUUGCGUCUGAUUAGCUAGUUGGAGGGGUAACGGCCCACCAAGGCGAUGAUCAGUAGCCGGUCUGAGAGGAUGAACGGCCACAUUGGGACUGAGACACGGCCCAGACUCCUACGGGAGGCAGCAGUGGGGAAUCUUCCGCAAUGGACGAAAGUCUGACGGAGCAACGCCGCGUGAGUGAUGACGGCCUUCGGGUUGUAAAGCUCUGUUAAUCGGGACGAAAGGCCUUCUUGCGGAUAGUGAGAAGGAUUGACGGU
rnacentral:rRNA from 1 species